rnacentral:lncRNA from 1 species
GCAUCCCUGAUUCUGAUACCAGCAUUUCAGCGUUGACCUUGAAUGAGAGUUUUAAGAUGCCUACCAGCAAGACCUCCCAAGAACCUUUGGCCUACACCUUCCUCCAAAUCUUACGGCACAGAAGAAAUUUUGCAAGUCCAGCAAAAUAUCAAGGAAGAUCAGAUAGAUGGAUGACCUGGCUCAUUCAGAGAAUUGAAAAAUUGGCUGACAUCCUUGGGACAGAAAUGGGACAAACAUGAUACCAGAAGACCAAGAAGUGCCAGAGUGAGCUGGCAAAUAGGUACCAUGACUUAAUUCUUUAAUUGUCGGUCUUGAAGAGCAAUGCUGCUCAAGUCUGAAUAUCAUAAAGCCCUUAGUGAAACUUGUCUGAAGUUGAUUCAUUCGGUUUCUCGUUGAGCUUGUUCCUCAAGGCUAAUCUGCAUCUCUAAUUGUGUUUUAUGUGCUUUGAAUACAAUUUACCUUCUUUUUUUUCCUACCAUUGCAUAAAAUGAUUCAGUAGUUAUUUUGCAUCUUAGAAUAAAUACUCUGUCUACAAUAGUACA